GAUACAGCUUAGUGGCAGAGCAUCUGUUUUGCAUUCACAAUGUCCCAGGUUCAAUCCCUGAUGUCUCCA